UACGGGGGGAGCAAGCGUUGUUCGGAUUUACUGGGCGUAAAGGGCGCGUAGGCGGCCGUUUGCGUCGGAUGUGAAAGCCCGGGGCUCAACCUCGGAACGGCAUUCGAUACGGGACGGCUGGAGACCGGGAGAGGAGAGUGGAAUAGCCAGUGUAGAGGUGAAAUUCGUAGAUAUUGGCUGGAACACCGGUGGCGAAGGCGGCUCACUGGCCCGGUACUGACGCUGAGGUGCGAAAGCGUGGGGAGCAAACAGG
rnacentral:rRNA from 1 species